rnacentral:rRNA from 1 species
AACAGAGGGUGCAAGCGUUAAUCGGAUUUACUGGGCGUAAAGCGUGCGUAGGCGGUUCAUUAAGUCGGUUGUGAAAUCCCUGGGCUUAACCUGGGAACUGCAGUCGAUACUGAUGGACUAGAGUACGGUAGAGGGUGGCGGAACUCCGGGUGUAGCGGUGAAAUGCGUAGAUAUCCGGAAGAACACCGAUGGCGAAGGCAACCACCUGGGCCUGUACUGACGCUGAGGUACGAAAGCGUGGGGAGCAAACAGG